rnacentral:rRNA from 1 species
UACGUAGGGUGCGAGCGUUAAUCGGAAUUACUGGGCGUAAAGCGUGCGCAGGCGGUUUUGUAAGACAGGUGUGAAAUCCCCGGGCUUAACCUGGGAACUGCGCUUGUGACUGCAAGACUCGAGUACGGCAGAGGGGGGUGGAAUUCCACGUGUAGCAGUGAAAUGCGUAGAGAUGGGGAGGAACACCGAUGGCGAAGGCAGCCCCCUGGGCUAGCACUGACGCUCAGGCACGAAAGCGUGGGGAGCAAACAGG